GUGUCGCGCUCGGGGGCUGCUAAUUCCAUUGUGGAGCGGACGCGGCGUUAUUUUUGACUGGAGGCGGCGGCGGGAGCCGUAAGUGCAGCCAGGGCCGGGUGCUGCCCGUCGGCGCGGGUGGGGCGGUGACGAUGCGCCCGGGCGGGGCCGGCUCGGUGAACGGGCGCUGAGCAGCACCCUGAGCGAGCGGCGUCCGGCUGCGGGCGAGCGGCGGGUCCCGCAGCCCCUCUGGGCCGCGCCUCCUCCCCGGCCCGGCUUCCUGGGGGAUGAAACUCGGCAGCGGCUUUCUCGGUGGCGGCAGCAAGAGGGCGGCGGCCAUGGAGCCCACCUUCCCCCCCAGCAUGGUCAUGUUCAACCACCGGCUCCCGCCGGUCACCAGCUUCACUCGGGCGGCCGCGCCCCCGCCGGCGGCCCAGCACCCCUCGCAGUGCGUCUUGCCGCCGCCCCCCUCCGCCGCCGGCGCCGCCUCCGCCGCCUCCUCUGCGGCGGCCGAGCCUCCCGCGCCGCCCCCGCCUCAGGACGUGACUUUCAAGAAGGAGCCGGCUGGGGCUUUCCCUUCCUCUUCCUCGCAGAGGAGCCCCUGGGGCUUCCUCCAGUCGCUGGUGAGCAUCAAGCAGGAGAAACCCAGCGAAGAGGAACAGCAGCAGCACUAUGGGGGGCUAUUCGGAGGGGUUGGGGAGGAGAGGCACCCAGCCCUGGGCAGUGGCAGUGGGGAAGGAGCCAGCCAGAGUGUGAUUCAGGACCUAAGCCUCCUCCACCACCUGCACCACCAUCCCCACCGGGACCUGUUACUGAGCGGCAGGAGCGAGGGCACCCCUGGGGGCUCCGAUGAGCCAAAGCACGACACCCACGGCAAGAAGGCAAAGAGGCCAAAGCCAGAAUCUCAGGGAAUCAAAGCCAAGCGCAAGCAGAGCGCCUCAUCCAAACCCCCACUGGUGGGAGACACAGAAGCUGCCAUCUUGUCCUCAAGUCAGAAACCUCAUGUCUGUGAACACUGCAGCGCUGCCUUCAGGAGCUCCUAUCACUUGCGCAGACAUGUGCUCAUUCACACUGGGGAAAGGCCUUUCCAGUGCAGCCAGUGCAGCAUGGGUUUCAUCCAGAAGUACUUGCUCCAGAGACACGAGAAGAUCCACAGUAGGGAGAAGCCAUUUGGAUGUGACCAGUGCAGCAUGAAAUUCAUCCAGAAGUACCAUAUGGAGAGACACAAGAGAACACAUAGUGGAGAAAAGCCAUACAAAUGUGACACUUGUCAGCAGUAUUUUUCAAGGACUGAUAGACUGUUGAAGCACAGACGAACAUGCGGUGAAGCCAUAGGUAAAGCAGGUGCUGGAAUGGAACCUGGAUCAUCAAAUCAUAACAUGGGGAGCCUGGCUGUGUUGUCUCAGGGAAGUACAAGUUCUUCAAGGAGAAAAAGUAAAACAAAAAGUAUAUCCAUUGAAAACAAAGGACAUAAGUCUAGUAAUAAAGUAACUGAAUCACAAGUUGCAAGUAAUAUGACCAUGCAGAAUUAUGCAGUAGAGAUUCCUGUUGUGUCUUCCAGUGGUAGCUUAGUUGGUGCUGGCAUGGAAGAAUUACAAAAAAAGGUGCCAAAGUUGGUCUUCAAAAAAGGAAACAGAAAAAAUGCAGACAAAAGUUACCUUAAUUUUGUGUCACCAUUACCAGAUAUUAUUGGGCAAAAACCAUUGCCUGGGAAACAAAGUGGCUCUCUUGGCAUAGUAACCAAUACUGGUGUAGAAGCUAUUGGUCUUCUCCAAAAUGCAGGUGGAAAACCAGGUCAAAUAAGUAGCAAUUAUGAUGAUGCCAUGCAAUUUUCAAAGAAAAGAAGAUAUUUACAAACUGCCAGCAGUAACAGUGCCUUUUCUAUAAAUGUUGGACAUAUGGCCUCCCAACAGUCUGUCAUCCAGUCUGCAGGUGUCAGUGUUAUGGAUAAUGAAGCCCCAUUAUCUCUUAUUGAUUCAACAUCUCUAAAUACUGAAAUGAAGUCUUGCCAUGACAAGUCUGGAAUUCCUGAUGAAGUCUUGCAGAGUCUCUUGGACCAGUACUCUCACAAGUCAGAAGGCCAGAAGGAAGAUCCUUUCAGUAUAACUGAACAACGUGUAGACUUGCACACCUCGGGAGAACAUUCAGAGAUGGUUCAAGAAGAAAAUUUGAGCCCAAACUCUCAAACAGCUUCAAAUGAUAAGGCAAGCAUGUUGCAAGAAUACUCUAAAUACCUCCAACAGGCUUUUGAAAGAACGACCAAUAGCACUGGUUUUGCUUUUGGACCCAGUUUCCAGUUUGUUAGUUUGUCUUCAACUCUCCAUAACCACAGUUUGUUUCAAGACAAACAGAUAUACACUACAUCUCCUCUUGAGUGUGGCUUCAGCCAGUCUGUUACCUCAGUGUUGCCAACUGCAUUGCCAAAGCCUCCUUUUGGGAUGUUGCUUGGAUCUCAACCAGGUUUUUAUUUAUCUGCUUUGGAGGCUACUCAUCAACAGUUGACUCCUUCUCAAGAGCUGGAUGAUCUGAUAGAUUCACAGAAAAAUUUAGAGACUUCAUCAAACUACCAGUCUACAUCUCAGAAAUUGAGUAGCCAGAAGGAACAGAAAAAUUUAGAAUCUUCAACAAGCUUUCAGAUUCCACCUCAGGAGUUAGCUAGCCAGAUAGAUCCCCAGAAGGAUGUAGAGCCUAGAGCAACAUACCAGAUUGAGAACUUUGCACAAGCGUUUGGUUCUCAAUUUAAAUUGGGCAGCAGGGUGCCAAUGACUUUUAUCACUAACUCUAAUGGAGAAGUGGACCAUAGAAUAAGGACUUCAGUGUCAGAUUUCUCAGGGUAUACAAAUAUGAUGUCUGAUGUAAAUGAGCCAUGUAGUACAAGAGUAAAGACCCCUACCAGCCAAAGUUACAGGCAGUCCUCGGACUUACGACACAAUUGGUUCCUGAAAAUUGCAUCGUAAGUCGAAACGUCCUAACUCGGAACUGCAAUCUACUCCAUUGCGGGACCACACAUCGUAGUGUCGAAACCAAUUGUCAUAAGUAGAAACAGGGUGUCAAUUCAGAAGUGAUGAAAGUGGCCAUGGAACUGCUGCCUAAUGCUACCAGUAAGCCAUCAGGGAAGUAUAUCUUUAUUAAAAUACAAAUACAUAUGGAAUCGUUAAUCCUGUGACACAUGUCUACAUAGACUUGCUAAAUCUCACUAUUCUCAAAGUGAUUUCUUCAGGAUGAAUUUUAAAAGGAUUUUAAGAAUCUCAUUUAAUGAUGAAUUUCCAAUGUGUUUCAAUGGAACAUUUAUCUCUAAUUUAUUUUUUUAACCUCAAGCUUUUUUUCAAAUUAUUACAGCUCUGUUUGUCACUUUUGUAUUAUUCCAGUAAGUGAGAAACCAAGAAAUGGGUUGGAAUCCUCUAUCUGAGCAUGUACAGUAUUUGUCUAGGCCCAUAUAUGGCCUCAUCAUCAGAGUAUAUGAACAGCUGAUGAUAAUGAAUGGACUCUGUGAGGUUAGAGAAGUAUUAUCCUGACUUCACAGAAGAGGAACUGAGGUGCAGGAUAGAUUGUCACUUAUAUAAGAUCAUUUAGGGAAUCUGUGGCUGAGCCUGGAAUUGAACGUAGGUGUCCUGAGUCUAAGUCCAGUGCCCAAUAGACCAUCCUUACUCCCUGUACAAUACUGCCAUGAAGGAUCAGUUUUUGAAAGGAACUCCAAACAUGCAUGCGCAAAAUUUGCAUGCAAGCAUUUGGACUAGGGUGACCAGACAGCAAAUGUGAAAAAUCGGGACGGGGUAGCGGAUAAUAGGAACCUAUAUAAGAAAAAGACCCAAAAAUCGGGACUGUCCCUAUAAAAUGGGGACAUCUGAUCACCCUACUUUGGACAUUUCCACUUGCAAGUUAUGUGAAUAAGAAAAGAUUUGUCUGCAAACAGGUACUGGUAUACAGAUAGUCCAAGCUGUGCGUGCAGGUGCAGAACUAUUUGCAUGCAAACAAGUGUAUGGACAAAAAUAUUUGGUGCAUUUUUAAAGUCUCUUUGGAAUUUGUUUCUGAGUCUAAUCCUUUGAAAGGAAUGUGCUGGGUGCUGCAUAGUAGAACUGGUGUGGAGACUCAAUAGGACCAUGUUACCCUUUACUUACUCUGUAGAAACAUCUGUAGUAUCAGAUGGCGCUAUUGCUUGUUGCAAGAGCCGUUUGUUCCUGCAGUUGUUCAUCUUGUCCAUACUUAACCCUGACUUUUGUAGAAUGGUUCAGUGUGACCACACCUAAUAGUGCAUUGUAAGUCUUUCAAGCGUGCGGAAUGUUCUUCUGAAAUGAGUAAGUUAUUGCAGUACCUUAACAGGCUAUUUGCAAAUAUUUUGCUAUUCAGAUCCUAUUAAAACUCCAGAUUUCUUGCAAGAAUUGUUUCCAUUGUUGGGCUGUCCUUUGUGUGAUCCGUGUAUCCCUAACUCUGCUGUCCUACCAUCGUUUGUGCAGAAAUGAGAGAAGGAGAAACAAUGGUGCUCCCCUGGACUAAGUGUGGGCCUUUAUUUUGAUGAACCCUCUCCCACUGGAUGCUGGGGGGAGGCAAGUCACUUGCUUCUAAUUGUUUUGGAAUGUUUUAAACUCUCAACCCCCCCACCCCCCACCUGUUUUGUAGUUGAACAGUUUCAUUCUCUCAUAUUUUCCUCCCUAGGAUCCAGUGACAGAUGUUGGCAGGAUUGUUGUCUGGAAGGGAUGGGUGUAUGAAGGAGAGUUGCUCUGGUUCAACUAGAUUUCCCCCCUACCUGCUGCUGCACGACAUUUAGUUGCCUGCCCUGGAAAUGAUCUGGGGGAUAGCUGAUUGCAGGUGUAUCCAUUGCUGUUAUCCUAUGCUAAACUCUGUCUGACUGAUCUAUCUUGCGUUCAUCAUCAUGGCAUCUGACUACAUUUGCCAUGGGUUAUGUUGGGACGUGGAUAGGCAAAUGAGGCUGUUUGGAGAGUGCCAGGGAGUAGUGAGUAUAUUUGAACUGGAAUGUAAGAGUGCAUAGUGUGCAUGUUUGUAAUUUGGAUGUCACUUUCGGCCAAAUUUUGCAGCCCCUAAUCAAGUAAAACUUCCUAUUUACUUCAGUCAGAGCGUUGAUUGAUUAAAGUCUGCAGAAUCUGGUGCAACAUUCCUUCUUGUUGUUUUCCUUGCAGAUAUCCACCAUGUAGGAGCUGCUGCUAAAGAAGUUCUUUGAGGAAUCUGUCAGCCCUAGCUCCCAGUAAGAGAAGAUAAAGGAGAGGUUUCUACUGGGAGGAAGGGUUGGCCUUACAAUUUAAGUGCUGCUCUGGGACUCAGGAGCUCUGUGUUCAAUAUCUGGCUUUGCCACAGGCUUCCGUGUGACUGGCCAAGUCACUAAAUCUCUUUGUGCCUCAAUUCUUCAUCUGUAAAAUGGCAAUAAUAGUACUGCCCAACCUCCAAAGAGGUGUUCUAAGGUUAAAUCCAUAAAUACCUGGUAGGUGUUCAUAUACUGCAGUGAUGAGAACCAUACAAAUACCUAGGUAGAUAAAAUGUUGUUUUAAUUAGUUUGAUUUUAUUAAAAUGUAUUAAAUAGUUUGUAUUGCAUUCAGUAACUCCAAUUUUUUAUAAAAAAGCACUUCUCAAGUAUAACCAAGACCGGCUGAUGGCCCUGGUUGUGGCAUGCCUGCUUGAAUCAGGGCAGGGAACUCAGUUGCUGACUGCACCAGGGAGAUAAAAUGACCACAGUGUUCUGUGGGAUGGAGCUAGAAGGACCACCUGCAAUAGUGCAGCUACAAUGCAUGUUGUUACUGUGUACACACGGUGGUAUCACACUAUUGUGUGACGAGUGAGGGCAGGUGGAGGCAUUGUGAAGAUCUGUGACAAGAAGGUAGGCUUACAGUGAUGCUCGUGAAACCCGUGAAAGAUAUAAUUACAUACUCAGUUCUGGCCCAGCACCCCUCUGUCCUGAAUAGAACACAGUAUUGUCACCCGCCUUAAAUGUUCAAAACUCAGCCACCCCAAAAAAUUAUGAGGUUGACUUAAAAAUCAUGAGAUUUUUUUAAAAAAGCAUUUUGGGUUUUUUUAAUUUGCCCUCUGGUUUUUGAGCCUUCUGGAUACACUUGGGCCUUGUUUUCAAGAUUUUCUCCACAAUCAUGAGAGCUAGAAACUUACUUUAGUUUUAAAAUAAAAGCUGAGGGCUUGACUACACAGGGAGUUAUUCUGGAAUCUUUGAAGAUGGAUUAAAUUAAACAGGAACAAGGCUCUCAUUUCAGAAUAAGAGUAUCCACACAUGGAGUUACUCUGAAAUAGUUCUUUUGAUUUUAUAUUCACACCCUGCUUAAUAAGAAUUAAUUUUCAGGUGUAGACAAACCCUGAGAUUCUCCUCUCAUUAUGUGACUCCAGGAGUGGGGACUUUAAGUAAAACAUCAUAUAUCACAAGAUUCACAAUAAUAUUGUGAGAAUUGGCCACAUUGGAAGCACACAGCUGGAUUUGUAACCUGCCUUAAAGGGCCAGUACAGCUGGUGACAGUAAGCAGGAGCUUGAAAAUAUGAAAAAUAAAUCAACUAGUUGAAUUGUUAAAGAUUUUCUAUAGUCAUACCCCCAACUCUGACACAGAAACAAAACAUAAUUCUUCUGUUUGCCCCUCGAGCCAGGUAGAGCUGAAAUGCCACAUUACAAUUUUAACCCUUUACCACUUUUUGCUUCAGCAGGCUUUGUCUGAGUCUCUAACAGUCCCAAACUGCUUCCAAACACAGAGGCAAUGGCCACCAGGUAACCUAGCAAAUGAUCUUUGCCCCCACAAAAACACUGUCCUUUAGUGAUUAGCAGAGGGAAAUGAUAAACACUUGACACAGGUUUGACAUUCUAUCCAAUAGAAUAGGGCAACAGCAGAUGGACAGGGGUACAUGCACUCCAUUACAAAUACAUUAUUCUAAGAAAAGCAGGCAAGCUUGAACUGCCUAAAAGUAUGUUUCAUAUGAUUAUAUUUUUUAACCUCUAGUGGCAGGACGUGGGGUUGUAAGAUAGGAGCAGAUGCUUUGAAUAUAUUGCCUGAAACAAGAAAUGGGCUGUCUGCUUCAACGUGAUAUUUUAUGAGAAAAGUUCCUUCACCCAUGUAUAUAUGUAUGUAUCCUGUCUAUAAAAUAUCUAAAGAAACCCAUGGAAGAUAUAGUUACAUAUUCAGUUCUGUAGAUUUACAAAAGCUGAAUGAGUAGAGUCUCCACAGAUUUUCACAGUAUUUUCCAAAAGUGUGGGUGUUCUAGCUUUUAAAUAAUAAUUGUUUUCUGAUUCUGUAUUUUGAAUUGGAAUUAUUUUUCUGCCCUACUUAUACAGAAUUGUACAUAUGUCUGUAUUUUAUUAAGCAAAUUUACAGAUAAAAAUUUUUGCCUUUGGAAAGGGAUAAAAAAAACAACCUUUGCUAAUAUCUGAGAAAAGAGAGUUGUAGAUAAUUGGGAAGAACAGGCUGCUCACUUCCUUCUUCCCUUUAUCAGCAGGCUAAAUUACAAUGUGUUGCAAAAUAUUUUUCUACUGAAGUAGAAAUUCACCUUCUGUGCUUAGGGGCCCAAUCCCAUUUUUUACUGAAGUCAGUGGCAAAAGUCGCUACAACUCCAACAGGAACAGGAUGGGGCCCUAGGAUGCAUCAUGGCAUUUUUAUUCUCCUUGGCAGAAUAAAAUGAGAGAGCAUAUUUUAGAUUCUGUCAGUUAUAUAUUUUGUAAAUGAUGUGACUUCACUAGAGACAAGAGAAAUUUAUAGGAAUUUCCUUCCCAAAUGUAUGGAAUUUUGUUCUCCCUGGGUAUAGAGAAUUAGCCUUUCUAUAGAGUUUUUGGAGUAGCAGCCGGGUUAGUCUGUAUCCAUAAAAAGAAAAGGAGUACUUGUGGCACCUUAGAGACUAACAAAUUUAUUAGAGCUUUGAAAGCUUAUGCUCUAAUAAAUGUUAGUUUCUAAGGUGCCACAAGUACUCCUUUUCUUUUUAUAGAGUAUUUGCAUUUGAAUGUUCCUUUUCAUGUCCAGUCUACCUAGCCCUACUCUGAUAUUUUGAUAGCAGUAUUCUAAGACACAAGAGGCCAUUCAACAGUAUCUAUUGAUGCUGGACCAAGUUGUAUAGAAAACCCAUUGUACUGCACACUGCACUUUGGGAGUUUCACUUCGUAGCAGACUUGGUAUAUCCCACCUUUCUCCUGAACCAUUGUUAUGGGCUGUCCUUUCUAAUCACUGGGCCAUCAGGAUGUCACAGACAUACUCAGUUGCUCUGAAUACACAGUAGUGGGUUAGUUGGAACAAGGAGCUUUCUUCCUCAGUCCAUCUCUUUUUAUUUUCCCCAUUCUUGUGCUUUUGCUUUUUAGACUCUCCCCCCGGCCCCGCCCCACUCACUUAUAAUAUAGCUGCCCUCUGUCAUAGUUAAUUCAUCAUUAUUCCUGGCAGCAUAGACAGGACCUAACUAACUGUGUAGUCUAUCCAUGCUACAGCUUUGUUUAUAAAAAAUCCUCUAUGCUUUCACAUCUAUAUGCAGUUGCAGGGUUUCUUGAGCUAGGGUGAGCAGCAAUGUGGCUGGGCAUUUGUGAAUAGCCUCUGCCCAAUCAGGUGUGCUGAUAGUGUCAAACAGGAAAGCCUUUCCAGUUUUUUCUGGAUGAGGAUACAGCGUGUUUGUCUCAAGAGACCUUUAUUUUGCUAGUUAGGGUCGUGCUAACUUGACAUCUUGCUCAGGUUAGCUUGCUUGCUGAAAAUGGUUUUAAUAAGUGUUACUCAGCAUACCAGAAGCACAAAAGAUGCAGAAUGUUUAGGCUAAAUUCCAGUUCACCUGUACCGUGGGCGUGCAGCCUGGCAACAAGCUCCGUGCCCUAGUUAGGCUCCUAACCUACAGAGCAAUGCUGCAUGCUGAAGGGGAGGGUCUGCUCACCAGGGGCCAUGGAGCUGCUCUUGUGGCCAUUUAGCCCUGUCCCCUUUCCUCAGAGGCAAAGUCCCUCCCAGACUCUACCUUCCUUGUCACAUAUGACAGUGGGGGUGCACUGGAGUGAUGGUGAGGAGGCGGUGCCUCCUUUGAUAUCUUUGGCUUCCCUGGCUGACUGACAAGUUGGAAAAUGGCGAUAAAGGCCAGUGGUCUUCUCUCCCAAGCAUCAGAGCUGGCUGACUGCUCCAAAACACAGCUGUUGACUAGGAGGGUGGCCCGUCAGCACCAAACAUGCACCCUACCGUGGGAAAAGGAAGAGUGGGUUGCCAGCACAGGCUUCCAUUCUUUACCAGCCUCUCAAGUGCUGUUCUUGGGAGACACAUACUGGGACCUGCCCCUGAUGCCCUCUCUAUCCUCUGAGCAGGGCACUCUGUGGAAGCUACUGCUGCCCCUAGACAGGAAUAGCUUUCUGGGCUACCGGGCGAGGUAGAAAGGGGUUGGGAUAGCAUGAGCACUCUGCCCUGUCCUGGUUAUAGAACGACUGAUCAUCCCCUCUUCCCUUCCUGUGCUCUCUGACUAUCCUUAAGAUCAGUUAGUACAGCACAGGCCUCCCCUGCUUCAAGUAGGGUACUGCAUACCCCUUAUCCCCUAAAAUGUAAUCAGUGAAUUCUCACUAAGUAUAAUAGCUUUAAUAGCUUGGUGAUAAUGUGUGAGGGACAAAUGAGGUGUCUGCUGCACUGAACAGAAUACUGUAGAAUCCCGGACAGUGCUACCCAAGCUGGGAAUUGUAAUUGAGGUCCUGUAGUAGCAAGUUUCUGGAUCUUGUCAUGCCAGGGAAAUAGACUGAUUCUAUAGGCCCAAAGGGAGCAAAACCUGGAGGAAGAUGUUCCAGAUGGCUGAACAUGGUUCAUUUGGCUCACUUUGUUGGAAUUACACUGAGCAAAUGACUGAACUCUAAUAAAAGGCUUAAGUGGCAGCUGGAACAAAGGAGCUGAAGAGCGUAUAAGGUAGGACAAAACAAUUAAACCCAGGACUACUUAGCCACUUACAGCCUCCAGGAAUAAUCACGUCGUUUGCUGCAUCUGGGAUAUAUCGCUUCCACAUUUGUCAGAGGCUUGUGAUUUAAAUAAGUAAAUCGUAGAUUAGGUUACAAAUAUAGUUUAUUUGCUUGUGGGAUGCUUUUUAAAGAAUGAAGCGGAGAUGAUGCAUAUGCAGAAUUCAAGUAAUCACUGGAUCAGUCAGGUGCAUUCUUUACUUCAUGUCACUGGAAUUGGAGAUGGAUCAGGAGUUUUAAAAUGCACUGCAGCUCCUAUAGGUCCCUAUUCUACAACGCUUACUCACAUUGAGCAUUAUUUACCUAUAUUGUACUUAUUUGCAGGGGUAAUUGCUACUCAGUAUACGCAAAGGUAGCAAAAUUGGUCCUUAAUUUAAACAGCUGGAACAUAUGUGAGAGAUUUUCACUUUGCUGCAUGUAAAUAAAAAGUCUUCAAAGAACUGAGUAGGCAAAUUUGACUUUUCCUAUUUUUGGCAUCUUCUGUCUGCUUCUAUGGUACUAGAGUAAAGAGUUCCUAAGAUAACAUUUCUAUGAUAUAUAUGUUUAUUUGUCUAGCUUGUUUAAGAAGAAUAUAUUUAUUUCUCCUUUGGUAAGAAGCAAACUUUAGUUUCUGUUCGUUGCUGUGUUUUGAAACUAUUUCAGGUCUUAAAAAGACUGAUUAAAAGGAGAAAUGGAAGACUC